GGGAUAGCUCAGUCGGUAGAGCAUGAGACUCUUGAUCUUAGGAUCAUGGGUUUGAGCCCCAUGUUGGGCCA